CAGCCGCCGCGGGAAUACGUAGGGUGCGAGCGUUAAUCGGAAUUACUGGGCGUAAAGCGUGCGCAGGCGGUUGUGUAAGACAGGUGUGAAAUCCCCGGGCUUAACCUGGGAACUGCGCUUGUGACUGGCAAGCUAGAGUGUGGCAGAGGGGGGUGGAAUUCCGCGUGUAGCAGUGAAAUGCGCAGAUACCGGGAGGAACGCCGAUGGCGAAGGCAGCCACCUGGUCCACUUCUGACGCUGAGGCGCGAAAGCGUGGGGAGCAAACCGGAUUAGAUACCCCAGUAGUCCCUGUCUCUUAUAC
rnacentral:rRNA from 1 species